rnacentral:lncRNA from 1 species
CAGUGUUUUCAAGACGUCCGAUUAAUCGCGACUAAUCGUCCUGGACGGUUGGAGGUACUCGACCAGGGCCUCCAACUUGGCCAGAACGACCAGGAAACUGGUCGUCCGAUUAGUCGUCGUCCAAUCGCGAUUAAUCGUCCGUCCAGGUUGUCUGACGUCGAUUAGUCGUCGUCCAAUCGCGAUUAAUCGUCCGUCCAGGUUGUCUGGCGUCCAGUCAGGAGAUGGUCCAGUCAGUAGAUGGGCUGCAUCUCAGAGUUUGAGCCUAGCUAGCUGCCUUAUAUUUUGGCCCAAGCCCAUUAGGGUUUAUGUUGUCUACCCCUCACUCAUUUCAGCACAACACAUUCAUUCCCAUCCUCUCCUCCCGUCCAGCUGCAGCAGCCACCUCCAUUGCUGCCCUCCUCUCCUCCCUUCUGUCUCCCAGCUCCUCCUCCUCCUAUCCUAUCCUCCCUUCUGUCUCCCAGCUGCUCCUCCCUCCCUUCCUCCCUUCCAG